rnacentral:tRNA from 2 species
GGAGAGUUCGCCUAACUGGUAUGGCAGCAGUCUAGAAAACUGCCGCGCUGAUAACGCUUGAGAGUUCGACUCUCUCACUCUCCG